rnacentral:sRNA from 1 species
GCCAGGCACGGUGAUGCAUGCCUGUAAUCCCAGUGACUCUGGAGGCUGAGGCAGGAGGAUGGCAAGUUUGAAGUCAGCCUGGGAAAUUUCGUGAGACCUUGUCUAAA